rnacentral:rRNA from 1 species
CACGUAGGCGGCUUUCCAAGUCAGGGGUGAAAUCCCGGGGCUCAACCCGGAACUGCCCUUGAAACUGGAUCGCUAGAAUACUGGAGAGGCAAGGUGGAAUUCCGAGUGUAGAGGUGAAAUUCGUAGAUAUUCGGAAGAACACCAGUGGCGAAGGCGACUUGCUGGACAGUGAUUGACGCUGAGGUGCGAAAGCGUGGGGAGCAAACA